rnacentral:rRNA from 1 species
GUCCUAGCCCUAAACGAUGGGUACUAGGUUGUGGGCCGACAUGGGCUCACAGCCGAAGCAAAAGUGUUAAGUACCCCGCCUGGGGAGUAUGGUCGCAAGGCUGAAACUCAAAGGAAUUGACGGGGGCUCACACAAGCGGUGGAGCAUGUGGCUUAAUUCGAGGCUACGCGAAGAACCUUAUCCUGGGCUUGACAUGUGCGAAAGCGCAAGGAAGUAGCCGCCGGAAACGGCCGGCCAACGGUAUCCAGUCCGGAACCUUGCACAGGUGCUGCAUGGCUGUCGU